rnacentral:rRNA from 1 species
AGUGAACGCUGGCGGUAGGCCUAACACAUGCAAGGCGAACGGCAGCACAGUAAGAGCUUGCUCUUACGGGUGGCGAGUGGCGGACGGGUGAGGAAUACAUCGGAAUCUACUUUUUCGUGGGGGAUAACGUAGGGAAACUUACGCUAAUACCGCAUACGACCUACGGGUGAAAGCAGGGGAUCUUCGUACCUUGCGCGAUUGAAUGAGCCGAUGUCGGAUUAGCUAGUUGGCGGGGUAAAGGCCCACCAAGGCGACGAUCCGUAGCUGGUCUGAGAGGAUGAUCAGCCACAAUGGGACUGAGACACGGUCCAGACUCCUACAGGAGGCAGCAGUGGGGAAUAUUGGCCAAUGGGCGCAAGCCUGAUCCAGCCAUACCGCAUAGGUACAGCAGGCCUUCGGGUUGUAAAGCCCUUUUGUUGGGAAAGAAAAGCAGCAGGUUAAUACCCCGCUGUUCUGACGGUACCAAAAGAAUAAGCACCAGCUAACUUCGUG